rnacentral:rRNA from 1 species
CCACCUUACCUGAACAUCCGACCGAGAACUACGAGCACAAACGCUUAAAACUCUAAGGACUUGGCGGUGCCCCAAACCCACCUAGAGGAGCCUGUUCUGUAAUCGAUGAUCCACGAUAUUACCUGACCAUUUCUUGCCAAUAACAGCCUAUAUACCGCCGUCGCCAGCUCACCUUCCCUGACAGCCCAACAGUGAGCGCAAUAGCCCCAUGACGCUAGUAAGACAGGUCAAGGUAUAGCCUAUGGAAUGGAAGCAAUGGGCUACAUUUUCUAAAUUAGAACAUAACGGCAAAGGGAUAUGAAACUGUCCCUGGAAGGCGGAUUUAGCAGUAAAGUGGGACAAUCGAGCCCUCUUUAAGCCGGCUCUGGGGCACGUACAUACCGCCCGUCACCCUCCUCGCAAGCGACCAACACACCCUAUACCUAAUAAGCCAUCCAGCUAAAGAUGAGGUAAGUCGUAACAAGGUAAGUGUACCGGAAGGUGCACUUAGACUACCAAGACGUAGCUUUAAUAAAAGCAUUCC